GGCGGCGUAGCUCAGGGGUUAGAGCAGCGGCUUCAUAAGCCGCGUGUCAGUGGUUCAAAUCCACUCGCCGCUA
rnacentral:tRNA from 1 species